GAUGAACGCUGGCGGCGUGCUUAACACAUGCAAGUCGAACGGAAAGGCCCAAGCUUGCUUGGGUACUCGAGUGGCGAACGGGUGAGUAACACGUGGGUGAUCUGCCCUGCACUUCGGGAUAAGCCUGGGAAACUGGGUCUAAUACCGGAUAGGACCACAUUUUGGAUGGUGUGGUGGAAAGUUUUUCGGUGUGGGAUGAGCUCGCGGCCUAUCAGCUUGUUGGUGGGGUAAUGGCCUACCAAGGCGUCGACGGGUAGCCGGCCUGAGAGGGUGUACGGCCACAUUGGGACUGAGAUACGGCCCAGACUCCUACGGGAGGCAGCAGUGGGGAAUAUUGCACAAUGGGCGCAAGCCUGAUGCAGCGACGUCGCGUGGGGGAUGACGGCCUUCGGGUUGUAAACUCCUUUCGCUAGGGACGAAGCGUUAUGUGACGGUACCUGGAGAAGAAGCACCGGCUAACUACGUG
rnacentral:rRNA from 1 species